AUUGAACGCUGGCGGCAGGCCUAACACAUGCAAGUCGAAUGGUAACAGGAAACAGCUUGCUGUUUCGCUGACGAGUGGCGGACGGGUGAGUAAUGUCUGGGAAACUGCCUGAUGGAGGGGGAUAACUACUGGAAACGGUAGCUAAUACCGCAUAACGUCUCAAGGCCAACGAGGGGGACCUUCGGGCCUCUUUCCAUCAGAUCUGCCCAGUUGGGAUUAGCUAGUAGGUGGGGUAACGGCUCACCCAGGCGACGAUCCCUAGCUGGUCUGAGAGGAUGACCAGCUACACUGUAACUGAGACACGGUCCCGACUCCUACGGGAGGCAGCAGUGGGGAAUGUUGCACAGAGGGCGCAAACCUGAUGCAGCCAUGCCGCGUGUAUGAAGAAGGACUUCGGGUUGUAAAGUUCUUGCAGCGGGGAGGAAGGGAGUAAAGUUAAUACCUUUGCACAUUGACGUUACCCGCAGAAGAAGCACCGGCUAACUCCGUG
rnacentral:rRNA from 1 species